CCUUAUACAUGCAGUCGAACGCAGUAGCAAUACUGAGUGGCAAACGGGUGAGUAUAAUGUGGGUAUCUGCCUUUUGGUAUGGAAUAACACGAGGAAACUUGUGCUAAUACCGAAUAAGCCUUCACAGGGAAAGUUUUAACGCCGAAAGAUGAGCCCGCACUUGAUUAGUUUGUUGGUGAGGUAAUGGCUCACCAAGACAAUUAUCAAUAGCUGGUCUGAGAGGACGAUCAGCCACAUUGGGACUGAGACACGGCCCAGACUCCUACGGGAGGCAGCAGUAAGGAAUCUUGCACAAUGGGGGAAACCCUGAUGCAGCGAUGCCGCGUGAGUGAAGAAGGCCCUUGGGUUGUAAAACUCUUUCGUCGGGGAAGAAAAUGACUGUACCCGAAUAAGAAGGUCCGGCUAACUUCGUGCCAGCAGCCGCGGUAAUACGAAGGGACCUAGCGUAGUUCGGAAUUACUGGGCUUAAAGAGCUCGUAGGUGGUUAAAAUAGUUGAUGGUGAAAUCCCAAGGCUCAACCUUGGAACUGCCAUCAAAACUUUUUAGCUAGAGUGUGAUAGAGGAAAGUGGAAUUUCUAGUGUAGAGGUGAAAUUCGUAGAUAUUAGAAAGAACACCAAAUGCGAAGGCAACUUUCUGGGUCACUACUGACACUGAGGAGCGAAAGCAUGGGUAGCGAAGAGGAUUAGAUACCCUCGUAGUCCAUGCCGUANACGAUGUGUGCUAGACGUUGGAAAUAUAUUUUUCAGUGUCGCAGCGAAAGCAUUAAGCACACCGCCUGGGGAGUACGACCGCAAGGUUAAAACUCAAAUGAAUUGACGGGGACCCGCACAAGCAGUGGAGCAUGUGGUUUAAUUCGAAGAUACGCGCAGAACCUUACCAACACUUGACAUGUUCGUCGCGAGACCAAGAGAUUGGUUUCUUCAUUUUAGUGGAC
rnacentral:rRNA from 1 species